rnacentral:lncRNA from 1 species
CGGAUAUUCAGGCCCAAACGGUAUCCAAAUGAAUUAUGUUUGAUCAAUUAUUCAAACGAGCGUGAAUGAAUUAGCUUAGCCUCAAUCAUGGCCAGAAAAGUUUUUAACCAUCCAUUUGCAGCUUAAACUCAAAAAAAAAGAUGGCAAAAGCAAAUUCAAGUAGGGUCACAACUAAAUUUAGAUAUACAUAAAAAUUGUGUUAACAUUUCUUCAAAGUACAACAAAUAUUCGCGGAUAUAGUUUAGCUAUAUAUAUUGAUUUCAAUCUGCUUAGAUCACCGAAUACGCCACGGGUUCACUUUCAAGUUCCAACGAGAAACUCUCAUUUGCCUCCUGACAUUUAUGUGCAAUUUACCUAAAACUAGGUGAGCAAGAAAAAAUUAUAAAAGAAAGUGUCAAUGCUUUAAUUUCCAACACCAAUCAACACAUAUGCUGUUCCAACACAAUUUUUGAUUAGAAUGUCUAAAACACUAAUUAUUCAAUUUCAGAAACCGUUUGAAGGGCAUAUAACUCACAACAUCAUGGCAGCACUUGCAACUUUACAAGAAUAACAAAUAAUUAUAAAGUUGGCAUUGCUCCGUUCUUUAUAUUUGCUCAAAAAUAUUUAUAAUCAAACAUAGUUCAAUAAACCAAUUUCGCAUUGCAGUACAGAUUAUUGAAAGUAACUUCUUCAAAAUUGCCUCCAAACAAACAAACAAAAAUAAAUAAAUAAAUAAAUAAAUCACAGCAACCCAAUGAACAAAUUCAAAAUAUAUACCUCAUCAUAUGAAACAACUAAAUCUUAACAGAAGUAGGAAUUUAUCCUCAAGCAAGUAUAGGAUUAUAAACAAAGACAAAAUUGAGUUACUCAUCAAUCUCACAAAUUAGCACGACAAAAUGGGAUUCUGUGGGUACCUUAAAUGCAAAGGGGGAAAGCAGAAUGACAAAAACCAAAUAAAGGUAAGGAGAAGAAGCAGGAAACUCGGCGCACAGGGACAGCAACAAACAGCAAAUUCUUAUACCAACACAGCUCGAGAAUCUCAGAAAGUAAGCAAUAACUGAGUUCGGACAGCUAUAUAAACGAAGACUCCAACGCAACCUCAAAACUUCGACCUCUGACUUUACCCGGAAUCUCAAAGACAGAAAGAAACAGAUUGGUAAGGAGGGAGCCAAUCUUCACAUGAUUUUUGGGACUAUUUCAAGAUUGUUUCAUGGCUGAAGUUUGUGACGGAUUUUUCAGUUGUGAUUUCGGGAGUUUUGGAGCUAGAAUUUGGGUAUUUACAUGGCUGAGAAGAGAGUGUUUCUGGGCGAAAAAGUAAGGAAGAAGAAGAGGGGUCUAGGUAUUCAUAGGGUAUUAUAGGUUAAAGGGGUACGAGCCUAGCUUGGAA